rnacentral:rRNA from 1 species
UACGGAAGGGGCGAGCGUUGUUCGGAAUCAUUGGGCGUAAAGGGCGCGUAGGUGGCUCUGUAUGUCUACCGUGAAAGCGUACGGCUCAACCGUAUCUUGUCGGUAGAAACUGCAGGACUUGAGGCUGGGAGGGGCUGGUGGAAUUCCCUGUGUAGCGGUGAAAUGCGUAGAGAUGGGGGAGAACACUCGUGGCGAAGGCGGCCAGCUAGACCAGUUCUGACACUGAGGCGCGACAGCGUGGGGAGCAAACAGG